rnacentral:rRNA from 1 species
UACGGAGGGUGCAGCGUUGCUCGGAAUUAUUGGGCGUAAAGGGUAGGUAGGUGGUCUCAUUUGUCUGGGGUGAAAGCCUUGAGCUUAACUCAAGAAGUGCCCCAGAAACGGUGAGACUGGAGUCCUGGAGAGGGUCGUGGAAUUCCCGGUGUAGCGGUGAAAUGCGUAGAGAUCGGGAGGAACACCAGAGGCGAAAGCGGCGACCUGGACAGGCACUGACACUCAACUACGAAAGCGUGGGGAGCAAACAGG